rnacentral:rRNA from 1 species
GGGUUGUGAGGUUAAGCGAAUAAGCGUACACGGUGGAUGCCUAGGCAGUCAGAGGCGAUGAAGGACGUGCUAAUCUGCGAUAAGCGCCGGUAAGGUGAUAUGAACCGUUAUAACCGGCG